rnacentral:rRNA from 1 species
UACGGGGGUGGCGAGCGUUACUCGGAUUUAUUGGGUGUAAAGGGCAGGUAGGUGUUCCGUUAAGUUAGAAGUGAAAUCCUGUGGCUUAACCACAGAACUGCUUCUAAAACUGGCGGAAUUGAGGACAGAAGAGGAAAGCGGAAUUCCCGGUGUAAGGGUGAAAUCUGUAGAGAUCGGGAGGAACACCUGUGGCGAAAGCGGCUUUCUGGUCUGUCCCUGACGCUGAACUGCGAAAGCUAGGGGAG